CGGUAAAGAUUUAUCGCUCUUGGAACGGCCUGCGGUCUAUCAGCUAGUUGGUACGGUAACGGCGUACCAAGGCUACGACGGAUAGGGGGGGUGAGAGCCCGGUCCCCACCGAUGGAACUGAGACACGGUCCAUACUCCUACGGGAGGCCGCAGUCGAGAAUCUUCCGCAAUGGACGAAAGUCUGACGGAGCGACGCCACGUGGUGGAUGAAGUCCCUCGGGACGUAGACACCUUUUAUGAGUGAAGAAGUUUAUUGACAUUAGCUCAUGAAUAAGGGGCUCCCAACUCUGUGCCAGCAGGAGCGGUAAUACAGAGGCCCCAAGCAUUAUCCGGAUUCACUGGGCGUAAAGGGUGCGUAGGCGGUUAUGUUAGUCGGGUGUUAAAUCCUUGGGCUCAACCCAAGGCUCGCAUUCGAAACGGUAAAACUAGAAGGAGUCAGAGGUAAGCAGAACUCUCGGUGUAGGGGUGAAAUCCGUUGAUAUCGAGGGGAAUACCAAAUGCGAAGGCAGCUUACUGGGACUUUCUUGACGCUGAGGCACGAAAGCGUGGGUAGCGAACGGGAUUAGAUACCCCGGUAGUCCACGCCCUAAACGCUGUCUGUUGGCUUUGGGGGGAAUCGACCCCCUCCGAGGCGAAGUUAACACGUUAAACAGACCGCCUGGGUAGUACGAGCGCAAGCUUAAAACUCAAAGGAAUAGACGGGGGCUCGCACAAGCGGUGGAUCAUGUGGCUUAAUUCGUCGAUAAGCGAAAAACCUUACCAAGGCUAGAAAUCAUACUGCACGCUUCGGGAAACCGAAGAAGCCUUCGAGGGUGUAUGACAGGUGAUGCAUGGCCGUCGUCAGUUCGUGGCUUGAGCUGUUCCCUUAAGUGGGGAAACGAACGCAACCCUCGUUGCCUGUUACAAGUGUCAGGCGAGACUGCUCCCUCACGGGAGAGGAAGGUGAGGAUGACGCCAGGUCAGCAUGUCCCUUGAUGCCUUGGGCCGCACACGUGAUACAAUGGGACGUACAACGGGACGCAAUACCGCAAGGUGGAGCAAAUCCUAAUAAAACGUUCCUCAGUUCGGAUUGUGGGCUGCAACUCGCCCACAUGAAGCCGGAAUCGCUAGUAAUCGUGAAUCAGCACGUCACGG
rnacentral:rRNA from 1 species